GCAAGUCGAGGGGCAGCAUAAAAGUAGCAAUACUUGGUGGCGACCGGCGCACGGGUGAGUAACGCGUAUGCAACCUACCUAUCAGAGGGGAAUAACCCGGCGAAAGUCGGACUAAUACCGCAUAAACAGGGGCACCGCAUGGUGAUAUUUGUUAAAGAAAUUCGCUGAUAGAUGGGCAUGCGUUCCAUUAGGUAGUUGGUGAGGUAACGGCUCACCAAGCCGACGAUGGAUAGGGAACUGAGAGGUUGGUCCCCCACACUGGUACUGAGACACGGACCAGACUCCUACGGGAGGCAGCAGUGAGGAAUAUUGGUCAAUGGGCGGGAGCCUGAACCAGCCAAGUCGCGUGAAGGAAGAAGGAUCUAUGGUUCGUAAACUUCUUUUGCAGGGGAAUAAAGUGCAGGACGUGUCCUGUUUUGUAUGUACCCUGAGAAUAAGGAUCGGCUAACUCCGUGCCAGCCGCCGC
rnacentral:rRNA from 1 species